GCAGUCGAGCGGACAGAAGGGAGCUUGCUCCCGGAUGUUAGCGGCGGACGGGUGAGUAACACGUGGGUAACCUGCCUGUAAGACUGGGAUAACUCCGGGAAACCGGAGCUAAUACCGGAUAGUUCCUUGAACCGCAUGGUUCAAGGAUGAAAGACGGUUUCGGCUGUCACUUACAGAUGGACCCGCGGCGCAUUAGCUAGUUGGUGGGGUAAUGGCUCACCAAGGCGACGAUGCGUAGCCGACCUGAGAGGGUGAUCGGCCACACUGGGACUGAGACACGGCCCAGACUCCUACGGGAGGCAGCAGUAGGGAAUCUUCCGCAAUGGACGAAAGUCUGACGGAGCAACGCCGCGUGAGUGAUGAAGGUUUUCGGAUCGUAAAGCUCUGUUGUUAGGGAAGAACAAGUGCGAGAGUAACUGCUCGCACCUUGACGGUACCUAACCAGAAAGCCACGGCUAACUACGUGCCAGCAGCCGCGGUAAUACGUAGGUGGCAAGCGUUGUCCGGAAUUAUUGGGCGUAAAGGGCUCGCAGGCGGUUUCUUAAGUCUGAUGUGAAAGCCCCCGGCUCAACCGGGGAGGGUCAUUGGAAACUGGGAAACUUGAGUGCAGAAGAGGAGAGUGGAAUUCCACGUGUAGCGGUGAAAUGCGUAGAGAUGUGGAGGAACACCAGUGGCGAAGGCGACUCUCUGGUCUGUAACUGACGCUGAGGAGCGAAAGCGUGGGGAGCGAACAGGAUUAGAUACCCUGGUAGUCCACGCCGUAACGAUGAGUGCUAAGUGUUAGGGGGUUUCCGCCCCUUAGUGCUGCAGCUAACGCAUUAAGCACUCCGCCUGGGGAGUACGGUCGCAAGACUGAAACUCAGAGGAAUUGACGGGGGCCCGCACAAGCGGUGGAGCAUGUGGUUUAAUUCGAAGCAACGCGAAGAACCUUACCAGGUCUUGACAUCCUCUGACAACCCUAGAGAUAGGGCUUUCCCUUCGGGGA
rnacentral:rRNA from 1 species